GACGAACGCUGGCGGCGUGCCUAAUACAUGCAAGUCGAACGAGUGGCGGACGGGUGAGUAAUGUCUGGGAAACUGCCUGAUUGAGGGGGCUAACUACUGGAAACGGUAGCUAAUACCGCAUACCAUCGGAUGUGCCCAGAUGGGAUGAGCUAGUAGGUGGGGGAAAGGCUCACCUAUGCGACGAUCCCUAGCUGGUCUGAGAGGAUGACCGGCCACAAUGGAACUGAGACACGGUCCAGACUCCUACGGGAGGCAGCAGUGGGGAAUAUUGCACAAUGGGCGCAAGUCUGAUGCAGCCACGCCGCGUGAAUGAAGAAGGCCUUCGGGUUGUAAAGUACUGUCAGCGGUGAGGCGUUACCCGAAGAAGAAGCACCGGCUAACUCCGGGCCAGCAGCCGCGGUAAUAC
rnacentral:rRNA from 1 species